UACGUAGGGUGCGAGCGUUAAUCGGAAUUACUGGGCGUAAAGCGUGCGCAGGCGGUUCGUUGUGUCGGUGGUGAAAGCCCCGGGCUUAACCUGGGAAUGGCCAUGGAAACUGGCGAACUGGAGUGUGGCAGAGGGGGGUGGAAUUCCACGUGUAGCAGUGAAAUGCGUAGAGAUGUGGAGGAACACCGAUGGCGAAGGCAGCCUCCUGGGCCAGCACUGACGCUCAUGCACGAAAGCGUGGGGAGCAAACAGG
rnacentral:rRNA from 1 species